rnacentral:rRNA from 1 species
GAUGAACGCUGGCGGCGUGCCUAAUACAUGCAAGUCGAGCGAACGGACGAGAAGCUUGCUUCUCUGAUGUUAGCGGCGGACGGGUGAGUAACACGUGGAGAACCUACCUAUAAGACUGGGAUAACUUCGGGAAACCGGAGCUAAUACCGGAUGAUAUUUUGAACCGCAUGGUUCAAAAGUGAAAGACGGUCUUGCUGUCACUUAUAGAUGGAUCCGCGCUGCAUUAGCUAGUUGGUAAGGUAACGGCUUACCAAGGCAACGAUGCAUAGCCGACCUGAGAGGGUGAUCGGCCACACUGGAACUGAGACACGGUCCAGACUCCUACGGGAGGCAGCAGUAGGGAAUCUUCCGCAAUGGGCGAAAGCCUGACGGAGCACCGCCGCGUGAGUGAUGAAGGUCUUCGGAUCGUAAAACUCUGUUAUUAGGGAAGAACAUAUGUGUAAGUAACUGUGCACAUCUUGACGGUACCUAAUCAGAAAGCCACGGCUAACUACGUG